GAUGAACGCUGGCGGCGUGCUUAACACAUGCAAGUCGAACGAUGAAGCCCAGCUUGCUGGGUGGAUUAGUGGCGAACGGGUGAGUAACACGUGAGUAACCUGCCCUUGACUCUGGGAUAAGCCUGGGAAACUGGGUCUAAUACUGGAUAUGACUUCUCAUCGCAUGGUGGGGGGUGGAAAGAUUUAUUGGUCUUGGAUGGACUCGCGGCCUAUCAGCUUGUUGGUGAGGUAAUGGCUCACCAAGGCGACGACGGGUAGCCGGACUGAGAGGGUGACCGGCCACACUGGGACUGAGACACGGCCCAGACUCCUACGGGAGGCAGCAGUGGGGAAUAUUGCACAAUGGGCGCAAGCCUGAUGCAGCGACGCCGCGUGAGGGAUGACGGCCUUCGGGUUGUAAACCUCUUUCAGUAGGGAAGAAGCGAGAGUGACGGUACCUGCAGAAGAAGCGCCGGCUAACUACGUG
rnacentral:rRNA from 1 species